rnacentral:rRNA from 1 species
UACGUAGGGUGCGAGCGUUGUCCGGAAUUAUUGGGCGUAAAGAGCUUGUAGGCGGUUUGUCGCGUCUGCCGUGAAAAUUCGAGGCUCAACCUCGAACUUGCGGUGGGUACGGGCAGACUAGAGUGUGGUAGGGGAGACUGGAAUUCCUGGUGUAGCGGUGAAAUGCGCAGAUAUCAGGAGGAACACCGGUGGCGAAGGCGGAUCUCUGGGCCGAUACUGACGCUGAGGAGCGAAAGCGUGGGGAGCAAACAGG